rnacentral:rRNA from 1 species
UACGUAGGUGGCAAGCGUUGUCCGGAAUUAUUGGGCGUAAAGCGCGCGCAGGCGGUCUCUUGAGUCUGAUGUGAAAGCCCACGGCUCAACCGUGGAGGGUCAUUGGAAACUGGGAGACUUGAGUGCAGAAGAGGAGAGCGGAAUUCCACGUGUAGCGGUGAAAUGCGUAGAGAUGUGGAGGAACACCAGUGGCGAAGGCGGCUCUCUGGUCUGUAACUGACGCUGAGGCGCGAAAGCGUGGGGAGCGAACAGG